rnacentral:rRNA from 1 species
CCUACGUGCGGCAGCAGUGAGGAAUAUUGGUCAAUGGGCGCGAGCCUGAACCAGCCAAGUAGCGUGAAGGAUGACUGCCCUACGGGUUGUAAACUUCUUUUAUAAAGGAAUAAAGUGAGGCACGUGUGCCUUUUUGUAUGUACUUUAUGAAUAAGGAUCGGCUAACUCCGUGCCAGCAGCCGCGGUAAUACGGAGGAUCCGAGCGUUAUCCGGAUUUAUUGGGUUUAAAGGGAGCGUAGAUGGGUUGUUAAGUCAGUUGUGAAAGUUUGCGGCUCAACCGUAAAAUUGCAAUUGAUACUGGCAGUCUUGAGUACAGUUGAGGUAGGCGGAAUUCGUGGUGUAGCGGUGAAAUGCUUAGAUAUCACGAAGAACUCCGAUUGCGAAGGCAGCUUACUAAACUGCCACUGACAUUGAUGCUCGAAAGUGUGGGUAUCAAACAGGAUUAGAGACCCCAGUAGUC